UGGGGAAUUUUGCGCAAUGGGGGAAACCCUGACGCAGCAACGCCGCGUGCGGGACGAAGGCCCUCGGGCUGUAAACCGCUUUCAGCAGGGAAGACAUCGACGGUACCUGCAGAAGAAGCUCCGGCUAACUACGUGCC
rnacentral:rRNA from 1 species